GGACUACCCGGGUAUCUAAUCCCAUUCGCGACCCACGCUUUCGUGUUUCAGCGUCAGGAAGUGGACCAGUCUCCUGCCUUCGCUUUCGGUGUUCCCCAUGAUAUCAACGCAUUUCACCGCUACACCAUGAGUUCCAGAGACCCCUUCCACCCUCAAGCAUUGCCGUUUCCCCUGCGCGCCCGCGGUUGAGCCGCGGAAUUUUACAGAAGACUAACAACGCCGCCUACACACCCUUUACGCCCAAUGAUUCCGGAUAACGCUCGAGGCACUCGUAUUACCGCGGCUGCUGGCAC
rnacentral:rRNA from 1 species